AUUGAACGCUGGCGGCAGGCCUAACACAUGCAAGUCGAGCGGAUUAAGGGAGCUUGCUCCUGGAUUCAGCGGCGGACGGGUGAGUAAUGCCUAGGAAUCUGCCUGGUAGUGGGGGAUAACGUCCGGAAACGGGCGCUAAUACCGCAUACGUCCUGAGGGAGAAAGUGGGGGAUCUUCGGACCUCACGCUCUCAGAUGAGCCUAGGUCGGAUUAGCUAGUUGGUGGGGUAAAGGCCUACCAAGGCGACGAUCCGUAACUGGUCUGAGAGGAUGAUCAGUCACACUGGAACUGAGACACGGUCCAGACUCCUACGGGAGGCAGCAGUGGGGAAUAUUGGACAAUGGGCGAAAGCCUGAUCCAGCCAUGCCGCGUGUGUGAAGAAGGUCUUCGGAUUGUAAAGCACUUUAAGUUGGGAGGAAGGGCAGUAAGUUAAUACCUUGCUGUUUUGACGUUACCAACAGAAUAAGCACCGGCUAACUUCGUG
rnacentral:rRNA from 1 species